UAUGUGUUAGGGUGUAUGACAUAAUCACAUAACUUCCUAGUGAAGCCGUAAAAAUCUAACUAUUAAAAUAAGUUUCUUGUUAUCCCACAACAAGUACUGAAAUAUUACCCCUUUGAGACACGAAACGUUACAGUCGGUGCAACGGAUUUUACACCUAAAGAUAGCACUUAUCUAAGGUUGUGCCUUUUACCACAGGCCGUGUGAUAAAGCUACCGGGGCAACUUGAGAAACUCAAGAAGUUUCUUGUAUUCGUAGUUAUAGAGACCGUGUUCAGAUAAUAGCAGAUGUAGCUUUGCCCCUAGGGCUGUAAUUAUAAACUAGUUGCACCAAUGACAUCUAGUAAAGUGUCAUCAAGCGAUGUUUGCGAGAUACAACCGCUUAGGAGACAAUGCGCUUCCUCUUGCUUUCUCCACUUUGUUCCGAAAUAACCUCUCCCCUCGUUUCACAUCAGGAACACGAAUGUCUUAUAAAGGUUUCUGUCGAGGAAGAAUGCUAGCACACAACACACAGACUGGUCCAACAAGUUACAAAUCCGUUUUAGAUGUUGAUCUUUGAAUGGGACACAUCUCACUCAACUCUGGAUCAUUAGUUUCUGACUGUCAUGGCCGUGCGACGCUUCUGCUCACACCAACAGUCUACACACGGUUCAGAGGAGGGAGCUGUGUACCAGAUGUGUGGUGCGUGUGAGUGUCAUCUGUGUGUAUGCUGUCAUCUUCAUUCUGUGCUUCGGUUGUACUACAGCAGUUCUAGAAUGCUCGUGUGCUACUGGCUGCCAUUCGACACCGUUUGUGACACAUCACAGACCUGCGGAAGAAGAAACAUGGCGCUUGGAAGGCCGGCGACUAUCAGCUCUUUGUUUAAUAGUACUGUGUGGAUAAUGAGAAUCAGGCCCGGCGUGUCUGGCUGUGAACGGCAAUACUAAUACCAUCUUUCGUCCAAUCAACCAGUACCCUGACUCUCCUAAUUGUGUUCACACAGAAGAAAACAGCAACCCGUCAUACUGGGAGGUUGACCUGGGCAGACCCUAUGAUAUUCACACCAUCACAGUGUAUGCGC